GAUGAACGCAGGCGGCGUGCCUAAUACAUGCAAGUCGAGCGAACAGAUAAGGAGCUUGCUCCUUUGACGUUAGCGGCGGACGGGUGAGUAACACGUGGGUAACCUACCUAUAAGACUGGGAUAACUUCGGGAAACCGGAGCUAAUACCGGAUAACAUUUGGAACCGCAUGGUUCUAAAGUGAAAGAUGGUUUUGCUAUCACUUAUAGAUGGACCCGCGCCGUAUUAGCUAGUUGGUAAGGUAACGGCUUACCAAGGCAACGAUACGUAGCCGACCUGAGAGGGUGAUCGGCCACACUGGAACUGAGACACGGUCCAGACUCCUACGGGAGGCAGCAGUAGGGAAUCUUCCGCAAUGGGCGAAAGCCUGACGGAGCAACGCCGCGUGAGUGAUGAAGGGUUUCGGCUCGUAAAACUCUGUUAUUAGGGAAGAACAAACGUGUAAGUAACUGUGCACGUCUUGACGGUACCUAAUCAGAAAGCCACGGCUAACUACGUG
rnacentral:rRNA from 1 species